rnacentral:rRNA from 1 species
GAACGAGAAAGUGGAGCAAUCCAUGAGUAAAGUGGCGACCGGGUGAGUAACACGUGACUAACCUACUUUCGAGUGGGGAAUAACCUCGGGAAACCGGGGCUAAUACCGCAUAAUGUCUUCGGACCAAAGGAGCAAUUCGCUGGAAGAGGGGGUCGCGGCCGAUUAGCUAUUUGGCGGGGUAACGGCCCACCAAGGCCAUGAUCGGUAGCCGGCCUGAGAGGGCGCACGGCCACACUGGAACUGAAACACGGUCCAGACUCCUACGGGAGGCAGCAGUGGGGAAUUUUGCGCAAUGGGGGAAACCCUGACGCAUCAACGCCGCGUGGAGGAUGAAGCCCCUUGGGGUGUAAACUCCUUUCGAUCGGGACGAUAAUGACGGUACCGGAUGAAGAAGCACCGGCUAACUCUGUG